rnacentral:lncRNA from 1 species
CGGAAGUGCCUUCUCUCCUCCCGGGUCUGCGCGGACGCGGCCUCCUUACCUCAUUUGUCCUCGCCCCUCCCCGUCCCUCUACGCGUUUUGGUCCCUGUUUGGUGCUUUCUGUUUGCAGCUACGGCAGUGAAUCUGGGCAUAGGAACCAAUCAGAAACAAUCGCUUCAGCAAUCAAGACCAUUGUUCAUCAUGGAGGAACCCAUGGAUACCUCUGAGCCUCUAUCUGCAUUACCAUUCACUGGGCAGCAGUCUUUUGAGCCAAGUGGCAAAUUUGGACAGUAUCCAUCGAUGCAGAUGAACCACAUCCAGGCACUGGGGAAGUGGAGGACAUAGAACAGCUCAAUCAGUGUUUGAUCCAACACUUCCAUCUCAUUAAGACAAGUUUGAUUUUUCUUUGCUUUUUAUUUCAUGGAAUACAUGAGAAUCUCUUAACUGUUGGAGUUUCCAAGGAGGCAUACCUCAUGACUUCAGUUAAUGGAAAGAACAAAACUAAAAUGCUGUAUGGCCAAAGCCACAAAGGGAAGGAUCCACAAUUUACAUUCUUGGAGCUAUCAUCUGUACUGUACUGUUGUGAUCUACUGAUUGGCAUUGGCAUAGUAGUAGGGGUCAAGUGACAGAAUCCGUGCCAGCAGUCUCCAGGUUCAGAAGCAAUUCAAGACCCUGAUGAUAGCUCUCCAGCAACCAACACAUGGUGAUUGUGCCAACUUGUUGCUCAGUUAUAAUGCAGGGCCAGUGAUUGGUUUAAGUGAAGACCAUGGUUGAGAUCAUUUGUCUUUGGUCUAAUAGAAUUUGAGUCUAGUAGAAUUUGAGUCUCCAGGGAAAGAGCUACUUGACCAAAUUAAACUAGUAGCAGGUAGAGCAUGAAUGACAGCAUAUUAUACCAUCAAGAUGUUCUUAGAGCAGUGUAUGGAUGGAUCGAUUGUACUGCCAUCAGUUGUGACUGACGUUGUAUUCAAGGAGAAAGAGAAACUUGUUUAGAAAGCACUUUGAAAGUUUUUUGAGUACGGGGGUGCCCUGUAUCACCCCGUUAUGGUUGAACUUUCUCCUUCAAAAUUACCAGACUUGGCAGCAGUGGCAAAUUAUUGGGCUAAAAGACUUAAUCAGACAUAUUCUGGGUUCAAGGCUCCUAAUAUAAUACCUGGUGCAAACAUUAUACUUCCACUCAUUCAGAUGGUUGCAUCCUGCCAGGCAUCCAGUGGGACUGGGAAUAUGGACACUUGAACAUUAAACAUCCUGAAGAAUUUUGGAAUGACAGGUUACAAGUGAACAUAAUCAGUUCUCUAUAUUAAAAAAAAAAAAAGAUUUGGGCAUAGAUUGGGCUCACAUAAUCUUUAGAGAGAUUUUUUCAUUUUUGUGAAAGUACAGAAAUUCUUAACUGCUUAUGAAAUGCUGAUUGUUAAACAGCAUCCACAGCUAUUUUGUGUUGUUUCCCUGACCCCACCCUGAAGAAAAGAAAAAUUAUGGCAUAUUGAAAACAGCAGUAUGAUGUAAGAGAAAAGAUCACAAAUUCCUUGAGGGUGGGUCUUUUCCAUACUCAUAAGCCUAUUUAUAAUAUUCAGAGUAAUUUAUUGACACAUAUUAAUAUUCCCUCCUAUCCCAUUAAUUGCCAAAUCAUCAAACAUUUAUUGAGCACCUACUCUGUGUAGGGUGUAAGCAGUACUGGGGACUUACAGUGAUAAAAGACAUAGUUUUAGCCUUAAGUGAUGUACUGUUUCACUGAAGAGAUGGAAUAUAAGAAGCCAAGUAAUUUAUGGAAUUCUCUUCUUUGUUUUUCUUUUUUUUUUUUGGCAGUGGAGUCUUGCUCUUUAAAUAGAGCAAGGCUAGUCUGGAACUCCUGGGCUCAUGUGGUCCUCCCGCCUUAGCUUUCAGUGUAGCUGGGACUACAGGUGUGAACACAGCUUGGAAAUCUCUUAACCAUGGGAGUUAAGUCUCAAAAUUCUGGUGAUACAAGUGGUUGAAACUUAAAACUGUAUUUAAAAAAUAGGAUUCGUGAAUUUGAGAUAGUUCAUAAGUCUGCAAAAGGCUGUAUAAAUACAUAUUUUACAUUUACUAUUAUUAAUUUUGUAGUAAAUUUGAGUACAGCACUCUCUUUAUCUGUGGAAACUUCAGACUCUCCCCUAUUACUUUAAUUUCAGUGAGACAUUAUUAAAUAUAAGUGGGCUUACACAUUUGUUUUGCUUUACUGACAAAUAAUACACAACUUGGAGGCUUUUUUUUCCUUUCUAUUCUUCCUCUAAAUGUUCAACACUUUUCUGAUUUUGUGAUUUGAGGUUGUUUAAUAGCUUCCUGAGGCUCCAUUGAGACCGUAUAUACGUGACACUUAACAGUCUAGCCUUCCUCGGUACAUAUAGAUAUAUGAUGGUGGCUUUGCCUGUAGUAAAUUCAUGCCAAAACAUAGGCUUUCAGUGCCUAUUACAUAUGGCUUUCAGCUCUCUCUACUGAGGGAUGUAGGAGUUUAUUUCUGAGGUCUGAGCCUCUUUUCCUUUACUUCCUUUACUCUUUCCUAAGCCUUCUUUAUAAAAACUAUGCAUGUUCUAUUGUUUUCCUUUUUGAUUCCCUUUCUUUUAUUAUCCCCAGUAGGAGUGACUUGUAAUUCUCAUAUGUUAGAAAGGCAGAUCUCCUGGUUGAAGAAAAGAUCCACCCAAGCAAGUCAGCAUGUUUAAUAAUUUUUGAGGGGGAUCUCAAAUGUGGGAAGGAUUGUUAUAUAAGACAACCAAAUGAUGACAUGAGACAAUAAAUGCUAUAGGAAUUAUGGAGGAAUAAUUAGCUAUUUAUUUUCUUGGUUAGGGAAGAGAUAUUAUUAGUUGUAGAAGUAAUUACUAACUUCUACAUUUUUUAUUGUGGAAAUCAAAAAUAUAUAUAUGAAAAUAAAAUGUUAUAAUUGACUUCAGUGUCCCAUAAACCAGCUUCAACAAUUACCAAAUUGUGACCAAUCUUUACACACAUGCACAGGUGUCCCUCAGUAUCUGUGGGGCAUUGGUUCUAGGACCACUUAUGGAUACCAACAUCUAUGGAUGCUCAAGUCCCUGAUAUAAAAUGGUGGACUAUUUGCAUAUAACCUGUGUACAUCCCGUAUUAUUUAAAUCAUCCCUAGAUCACUUAUAAUACGUAAUACAAUGUAAAUGCCAUGUAAAUAACUGUUAUACUGUAUUAAGGAAUAACAACAAGAAAAAUGUACAUGUUCAGUACAGACGCAAUUUUUUUUGUGUGUGGAAUAUUUUCAUUCCAAGGUCAGUUGAACCCAUGGACAUAGGAGGCUGACUGUGUGUGUGUGUGUGUGUGUGUGUGUGUGUGUGUGCAUACAGACACACAUAUUUCUGAAAUGUAAAUAUUCUCUUCUUAAAAAAAUUAUUAUCACAGCUAAACAAAUUACCAGUAAUUCUUUUAUCCUCAUAUACCCGGUGUUCAGAUUUUCUAGAUUGGCUCCUAAUUUUUUUACAGAUUAUUUGAAUCUGAUUCAAUUCAUGUACUGUAAUGUUUGAUAACUUAAGUACCCUUUAUAGGUUCUCUUUUACCUCUUCUUUAUUAAAUUCCUUGUAAUUUGUUGUACUAAAUAGAUUGUCUUCUAGAAUUUCCUGUAGUCUGAAUUAUGUAGUAUUGUUUCACAUGUUCCAGUGUCCUCUUAUUUCCUGUGAGUUGGUAGUUAGAUCUAGAAGCUUGAUUAAAUUCAGAUUUUCUCUCUUUAGAUCAUCAACUUUAGAUCAUCAACUUGGAUCAUUUGUUUCAUUUUGCUUUUGAUAUGUUGUUUUUUAGAAUUACCUCUUAAAAUUUUGAUUUAAUUUUAUAAUCAUGUAAAAUGUUUAUAAAUUUCCAAAUUCAGAUCAGCAAAACACAAUAAAAUCUAUUCAGAGAAGGCAAACCUUCUGUCCAGUCUCCAUCCUGUUCCUGCUCUUCCCCUUAUGGGUAACCAUUAAGAGAAAAUUGGUGGUUGGUCCUUACAUUU